rnacentral:rRNA from 1 species
CAGUAGCCGCGGUAAUACGGAGGGCGCGAGCGUUACCCGGAUUUACUGGGCGUAAAGGGCGUGUAGGCGGCCUGGGGCGUCCCAUGUGAAAGGCCACGGCUCAACCGUGGAGGAGCGUGGGAUACGCUCAGGCUAGAGGGUGGGAGAGGGUGGUGGAAUUCCCGGAGUAGCGGUGAAAUGCGCAGAUACCGGAAGGAACGCCGAUGGCGAAGGCAGCCACCUGGUCCACUUCUGACGCUGAGGCGCGAAAGCGUGGGGAGCAAACAGGAUUAGAUACCCCAGUAGUCCCUGUCUCUUAUAC